rnacentral:rRNA from 2 species
AUGGCUCAGAUUGAACGCUGGCGGCAGGCCUAACACAUGCAAGUCGAGCGGAUGACGGGAGCUUGCUCCUUGAUUCAGCGGCGGACGGGUGAGUAAUGCCUAGGAAUCUGCCUGGUAGUGGGGGACAACGUUUCGAAAGGAACGCUAAUACCGCAUACGUCCUACGGGAGAAAGCAGGGGACCUUCGGGCCUUGCGCUAUCAGAUGAGCCUAGGUCGGAUUAGCUAGUUGGUGGGGUAAUGGCUCACCAAGGCGACGAUCCGUAACUGGUCUGAGAGGAUGAUCAGUCACACUGGAACUGAGACACGGUCCAGACUCCUACGGGAGGCAGCAGUGGGGAAUAUUGGACAAUGGGCGAAAGCCUGAUCCAGCCAUGCCGCGUGUGUGAAGAAGGUCUUCGGAUUGUAAAGCACUUUAAGUUGGGAGGAAGGGCAGUAAGYUAAUACCUUGCUGUUUUGACGUUACCGACAGAAUAAGCACCGGCUAACUCUGUGCCAGCAGCCGCGGUAAUACAGAGGGUGCAAGCGUUAAUCGGAAUUACUGGGCGUAAAGCGCGCGUAGGUGGUUUGUUAAGUUGGAUGUGAAAGCCCCGGGCUCAACCUGGGAACUGCAUCCAAAACUGGCAAGCUAGAGUACGGUAGAGGGUGGUGGAAUUUCCUGUGUAGCGGUGAAAUGCGUAGAUAUAGGAAGGAACACCAGUGGCGAAGGCG